GACAGAGGAUGCAAGCGUUAUCCGGAAUGAUUGGGCGUAAAGCGUCUGUAGGUGGCUUUUUAAGUCUGCCGUCAAAUCCCAGGGCUUAACCCUGGACAGGCGGUGGAAACUACCAAGCUGGAGUACGGUAGGGGCAAAGGGAAUUUCCGGUGGAGCGGUGAAAUGCGUAGAGAUCGGAAAGAACACCAACGGCGAAGGCACUCUGCUGGGCCGACACUGACACUGAGAGACGAAAGCUAGGGGAGCAAAUGGG
rnacentral:rRNA from 1 species